rnacentral:tRNA from 1 species
GGGCCGUUAGCUCAAUCGGCAGAGCUGCUGACUUUUAAUCAGUAGGUUCAGGGUUCGAGUCCCUGGCGGCCCACCA